rnacentral:rRNA from 1 species
CCUACGGGUGGCAGCAGUGGGGAAUAUUGCACAAUGGGGGGAACCCUGAUGCAGCGACGCCGCGUGGGUGAAGGAGCACCUCGGUGCGUAAAGCCCUAUCGGCAGGGAAGAAAGGCGGGCGGGGCCCGUCUGGACGGUACCUGACUAAGAAGCCCCGGCUAACUACGUGCCAGCAGCCGCGGUAAUACGUAGGGGGCAAGCGUUAUCCGGAUUCACGGGGUGUAAAGGGAGCGUAGACGGCGACGCAAGUCUGGAGUGAAAGCCCGGGGCCCAACCCCGGGACUGCUCUGGAAACUGCGGCGCUGGAGUACGGGAGGGGCAGGCGGAAUUCCUGGUGUAGCGGUGAAAUGCGUAGAUAUCAGGAGGAACACCGGCGGCGAAGGCGGCCUGCUGGACCGUGACUGACGUUGAGGCUCGAGAGCGUGGGGAGCAAACAGGAUUAGAUACCCUGGUAGUC